UUCUUUCCUUUUCUUGCUUUAGAAGUUAGUUAUUGUAUUUGUGUUUCCUCAUUAUCUUUCAAGGUUCCAUCCGGAGUUCUUUUAUUAUUGAUAAUUUUCUGUCAACUGGUGAAGAAAGGAAAAUAUGAGGAAUAAAUUAUUUGACUCAAUUUUGCUGCCUUUUAUGAACAUUUAGAUUUAAAUUAUAAUUCAGAGUGCUGAACAUGAUUCUUCUGCCUAAAAGUAGUUCUGAAAGCAUACUAUUAAUUUGAUAGAAUUCAAAAUUUUAAUUUUCAAUAGCAAAAUUGUGCUGAACUUAUUUAUUUGAUCAGUCUUAAAGGA
rnacentral:misc_RNA from 1 species